rnacentral:tRNA from 1 species
UUGCAUUUUAGUGUUAUUGCAUAUGAAUUUUUGGUAUUCAAGGGUUUAAUUAAUAUUAAAAAAUGUA